rnacentral:tRNA from 2 species
GGAGGAUUACCCAAGAGGUCGAAGGGGGCGCACUCGAAAUGCGCUAGGUCGGGUAACCGGCGCGAGGGUUCAAAUCCCUUGUCCUCCG